CCCCGCCCAGCCCGCGGCCCGCACUCGGCGCGCCUGGCCCCGCCCCCCGCGGGCUUAACCCUCUAGCCGCUGGGCACGCGCGGGCUACCGGGGCGGAGGCGUACGGGGGCGGCGAGCGGGGCUCGGCUCCUCCUCGUCCCGCGCCAGCGCCGCGCCCGGCCGCAUUCUCGGGGCCCGAGGCUCAGCCGCUCGCGGUGGAGAAAGCAGGCCGCGGAGGAGGCGGGCGCCCAGGCCUGCCCGGACAGGAAGUGGGCCCAGCUUUCCCACUCCUCGCUCCGCUCCUUCCUCCGCGGGAAGGGCAGGCCCCGGAGGCAGCGAGCGCCCCGGGGGUGGCCGGGCAGCCGGAUGCUCCCGGGGUUGCGGGCUGUGGCCCCGGGGGCUGAGGGCGGCGCGGGUGCGGCGGAAGCAGGGAAGCCGCGAACCGGCCUUCUGGCUGGCCACAGCGCCCUGCACGGACGAUCAGUGAAUGGAGAUUACUCAAGUAUUUAUCGAGAACUUGCAGUGGGCUAGGCACAGUUCAGGUAGAUCAACAAACCGAAAGACCCUGCCCUAGGGGAGCUUUCGCUCCAAUGCGGGGAGAGGGUGGAUGAUUGCAGUUUUGCCCAGUAAUUUUUGGGACCCUCAUGCCACCAUUAAUUAGCUACACACAUUUCACCGAAAGUCUACCUUACAUAUUAAUCAGAAGAAGUGGAAGAAUAAACACAGAAGAAGCAAAAAAGGAAGGAACUUUCUCACUGAAAGUUUCUAUUUAAUAUUAAGUCUUAAAAGUACUCCUGGAAGGACAAAAGGUGUUCUUAAUAAAUUAUAUUCGCAAAUAUUGGAUUUAAUCCUACCAGUAAUGAAGCAGUCAGUUACUUUCUAGAUGUGCAGAAAUACGUAAUGAACAAAAAAAACUAAUUCCUAUUCCAUUUUUUAUUAGGUCCACAGUUAUUUCACUUCUAAAUAAAUAUGGUUUUUUAAAAGUGGCACGCGGUGGAAUGUAAUUGAGACAGGAUGGAGUUCCUAGAGAAAUUUUACUUCCUCAAUCUGCACUCCACCUUACUUAAAAUACAGUCUUGGGUCUGUAAUUCCCUUAUCUGACUCUCAAGGAAAUGACAAAGUAAUGCCUAGAUUGGACUAAACCUCAUUUAACUUCAAGGCUGACCUUUCUCAAAGUUGAACCUUCGUCUUGUGAGGAACAGAAAGAUCAAGAACUCUGAAGCACCUCGACUUUCCACCUGUGAAGAUGUGUUCAAAUUUGCAACGUGCGGCCACACCUAUGAGGUCACUCCCUCUGGAGGAAACCAGCUGCCACUUUGUGAGGAUACUCAUAGUCCUGUGGAGGCAUAUCCUCCAUAUGGCUGAGACCUCCUGCGAACAACCAUCACUGACUUGCCAGACAUGAGUGUGCCACCUUGGAAGCAGAUUUUCCAGCCCCAGUUAAGCCUUCAGAUGACAUCAGCCCCUGCUAAUCUCUUGACUACAACCUCAUGAGAGACCCUGAGCCAGAACUAGCCAGGAUCUCGCUUUGUCACCCAAGUUGGAGUACAGUGAUACAGUCUUGGCUCACUGCAGCCUUAACCUGCUAGGCUCAAGUGAUUCUCCUGCCUCGGCCUCCCGAGUAGCCGGGACUACAGGACCAGCUUGAAGUGUUUCAGGACACUUCUCUCUGUGUGUGCCUCUUGAUUUUGUUCAGAAGCCCAGUACUAUGGAAUACUCUAUCGCAGUGAUAAUUAACUACUCGAUAUGCAAAACACAGACAAAUCUCACAAACAUAAUGUGGAGCAAAAGAAGCCAGAAACAGAAGAGUACUGUGAAAUCCCAUUUAUGUCAAGCUCAAAACCAGGUACUGGACCUCCAUAGGUGUCCCAGAGGCUCCCAUGGAAGGAUUUGCAAAUCAGGUUCCAAGAGCUUAAAAAGCCAGGCUUAGUAGUGGAGAGGCACCAGAUGAACUCUUGAUAGCCCAGGCAAGAACUGGGCACCAGCAGCAUUACUUGAUGGUGUCAAAGAGGUAGAGGACCAAAUGCCAGGAUGCAGAGGGAGCCAUGGUGCCUGGACACAGAGACUUUGCCACAGCUAUCAAGUUUGCAAAAUGAAAACAAAGGGAGAGAUUAAUGAGACUCCACCUAGAAGCAGCCACUCCUGGACAGGCUGCCCUUCCUAGAUGGCUUCAGAUGGCUGCCAGGGAACAUCUGCCUGGUUAAGAUUUCAAGUGAAGACCUAAUCGAAGCAGCCCUUUGGCAGGCUUUGCACUGGCCGGCCUGACUCUGACAUACGCUCCGAUGCCCACACAUGGUUGUGGCUGGCAGCUCAGACAGACACGACUGUUUUGGCUUCUGUCAUUUCUUUUUCUUCCUCCAGGCGCUCAAGUUCUUGAUCCCAGCUCGCCUGAUUAGGGGUCGUCAUCAGUCCGCGCACCCUGCCUGUACUUCCUGGGGCCCCCUGGUGGAUGAUCAAAGGAUAAAGGGAUAGUUGGAGGCAGGAAAGAGAGAGUUGGGGAUGAUAGUGCAGUGGACUGUGUGGAUCUUUCCCCAUAGGCUUCUAAGAAGUCUUUUGUGAAUAUCUCUCUCGUCCCCCACUGGGUGAAUGAUUUACUAUGACUAAAGGGGCCACACACACAACAGCUCUCACCCUGGAAUGGACUUUGAGAGGGAAGCAAAAGGAAGCAUUGCCUUCUUUCCUGGACUUCCCUUUGGAGCACCCCACAACUCUCAGGGGAUUUAGAAGGUAACACAUUUAGAGCUUUCCCAAAAGAAUGUGCAGCUGUGGCUUGAGCAAAAGGUGUUUACUCCCACGGAGGUGGGAUUUUUAUUGCUAGUUUCAACAUCAAGUAGGUGUGAAAGUUAUAUACAAAUCCUGACAAUCAAUACCACCUGAGAAAGGCGAGAAAGAGGGCUGCAUGGGCCAAUGCUUCACAAACUUAAGGUGCACAGCUUGGAAGCAUUGAAUUGUGGGGGGUGGGGAUCUUGUAAAGUGAAGAUUCUGAAUGAGUAGGUGUGGGGUAUGGCCCACAGUCUGUGUUUCCAACAUGCUUCUGCCACAGGAAGACUGCUCUGGACUAAGAAAUAGUCCUGUGCAUUUCUUAGCACCAACGCUCACCUCCCCCCACCAAAAACAUGAAAUAAAACAAAACAGGGACAUUGCAUUUCCUGGAAGUGUCUUACAUGACACCAAUUAAAACUAUCUUUUUUUCUUGCUCAUAAAUAUAUUCUUUUUCCUUUUUUUUGAGACGGAGUCUCUCUUUUUUGCCCAGGCUGGAGUGCAGUGGUGUGAUCUCAGCUCACUGCAACCUCCGCCUUCCAGGUUCAAGCAAUUCUCCUGCCUCAGCCUCCUGAGUAGCUGGGAUUACAGGAGUGUGCCACCACACUCGGCUAAUUUUUUGUAUUUUUAGUAGAGAUGGGGUUUCACUAUGUUGGCCAGACUGGUCUUGAACUCUUGACCUCAAGUGAUCCACCUGCCUCGGCCUCCCAAAGUGCUAAGAUUAUAGGCGUGAGCCACUGUGUCUAGCCUAGAAAUGUAUUCUUUUUUUUUUUUUUGAGAUGGAGUUUCGCUCUGUCGCCCUGGCUGGAGUGCAGUGGUGCCAUCUCGGCUCACUGCAACCUCUGCCUCCUGGGUUCAAGUGAUUCUCCUGCCUCAGCCUCCCGAGUAGCUGGGACUACAGGCGUGCACCACUACACCCAGCUAAUUUUUGUAUUUUUAGUAGAGAUGGGGUUUCUCCCAGCUAAUUUUUGUAUUUUUAGUAAAGAUGGAGUUUCACCAUGUUGGUUGGCCAGGAUGGUCUCGAUCUCUUGACCUCGUGAUCCACCCGCCUCAGCCUCCCAAAGUGCUGGGAUUACAGACAUGAGCCACCGCGCCCAGCCAAAACUUAUUCUAAAAGGUUUGACUGAUGUACAUAAAAAUCACUGGAAAACAUAGUUAUAGGUAAAUUUUAUUAUUUCUUUGUGUUUUUCUACAUUUCCCAAACUUUCUACAAAUGAACCUAUAUUGUUUUUAUUUUUCUCGAAGGCUAAGUUUGAAACAUCUUGUGUUGUUUCAAGACCUUUCUUUUCCCCCGGUGCUAGCUAGACCAGAAUGGAUUGUUUAACAUCUCAGGGCAGAUGUCUGAACCUUUGCAGGUGUUGGGAGACUCAGAAUCUUCUGGUGUUGAGGAGACCAAGCUUGGUCAGGUCGGGACCAUGUUGAAUCACUGUUUAACACUGAAGGAAGGCCAGGGAAGGCCUGUGAGGGACACGCAGUCUCUGCCUCCUGAGGUCAUGCUGAUCGCUUGCUGGCCCAAGUCUAAUUUAUUUUAGUUUCUAUGUCUGUGAACAAGGCCAAUGUGCAUGAAUGAUGGUCUGGCAUCUCGAUCCAUGUUUACAAAUCAAUGAGCAGACCACCUAAAUCAGUGAACUGUGCAUUUUAUAGAUGAGAAAAGGCAAGUUGGGGGAAAGAGACUGGAGAGGGUGGUGGUAAUUAUAGAAAUGAGACUUUCAUAACUCAAGUUUCCAUCCCAUGGCGUUUUCUUUAAAUAAGGGAUUCCCAAUCUUCAGAAGCACUAGUGCAGUAUAACUUUGGAUAAACACAGUUCUGUCUUAUCAGCACAUUGUUUUGUAUUCAAUAGGUACUCAAUGUUUAAUAUGUUAUAAAAUAUAAUUUUUGAAUACAUUUUUUUUCUGUGAUGGUCGGAGCACACAGCACAGAGCAAUUUUAGGAAAUUGCCAUGCUUUCCAAUAGUAGCUAUAAGCUUUGUGUAUCCAGUCACCCAGGACCUAUUUGUUAGAUAGGAUAAAAGAACAUUGAAGUGACAAGAUUUGACAGAAAAUCUAGGCAAUACCAUUCAGGACAUAGGCAUGGGCAAAGACUUCAUGACUAAAACACCAAAAGCAAUUGCAACAAAAGCAAAAAUUGACAAAUGGGAUCUAAUUAAACUAAAGAGCUUCUGCUCAGCAAAAGAAACUAUCAGAGUAAACAGGGAACCUACAAAAUAGGAGAAAAUAUUUGCAAUCUGACCAAGGUCUAGUACCCAGAAUCUACAAGGAACUUAAACAAAUUUACAGGAAAAAAACAAGCAAGCCCAUCAAAAAGUGGGCGAAGGAUAUGAACAGAUACUUUUCAAAGGAAGAAAUUUAUGCAGCCAACAAAUAUAUAAAGAAAAACUCAUCAUCACUGGUCAUUAGAGAAAUGCAAAUCAAAACAACAAUGAGAUAUCAUCUCGUGCCAGAUAGAAUGGCGAUCAUUAAAAAGUCUGGAAACAAUAGAUGCUGGUGAGGCUGUGGAGAAAUAGGAACACUUUUACACUGUUGGUGGGAGUGUAAAUUAGUUCACCCAUUGUGGAAGACAGCGUGGCAAUUCCUCAAGGAUCUAGGACCAGAAAUACCAUUUGACCCAGCAAUCUCAUUACUGGGUAUAUACCCAAAGGAUUAAAAAUCAUUCUACUAUAAAGACACAUGCACACGUAAUGUUUAUUGCAGCACUAUUUACAAUAGCAAAGACUUGGAACCAACCCAAAUGCCCAUCAAUGAUAGACUGGAUAAAGAAAAUGUGGCACAUACAUACCAUGGAAUACUAUGCAGCCGUAAGAAAGAAUGAGUUCAUGUCCUUUGCAGGGACAUGGAUGAAGCUGGAAACCGUCAUCCUCAGCAAACUAACACAGGAACGGAAAACCAAACACCACGUGUUCUCACUCAUAAGUGAGAGUUGAACAAUGAGAACACAUGGACACAGGGAGGGGAACAUCACACACCGGGGUCUGUUGGGGAGCGGUGGACAAGGGGAGAGAGAGCAUUAGGACAAAUACCUAAUGCAUGCUGGGCUUAAAACCUGGAUUAUGGGUUGAUAGGUGCAGCAAACCACCACGGCACAUGUAUACCUAGGUGACAAAGCUGCACGUUCAGCACAUGUAUCCCAGAACUUAAAGUAAAAUUAAAAAAAAAAAAAAAAGAACAUUGAAGUGACAAGAUUUGGGAGGACUGAAACAAAACAGACUACAAGGAACAGGAGAAAAGGGACAAUUGUAAGAGUGGUAAUAUUCUUUUAUAUUUAUGCACGUAAGAUGGCUGUACUGGUUUCAAGCAUCUGACUUUUAAUAUUUGAAGAAAUAAAAUUCUUGCUUAGGUCCUUCCACCCGCUGUUCAAGAUUGAAGAUUGACCUUCUGUUACCAUCUUAGCUGAUCUGUCUGCUGCUGCCUUUUUGCUUGUCCUACUCAGUUUUAAGUAAUUUUCAUCCUUCAUGCUCUGGGCUGCAAAAAUAAAUAUAAGCAACAUUUGCUGUCUUCA
rnacentral:lncRNA from 1 species